UACGGAGGAUGCGAGUGUUAUCCGGAUUUAUUGGGUUUAAAGGGUGCGUAGGCGGACUGUCAAGUCAGCGGUAAAAUUGAGAGGCUCAACCUCUUCCCGCCGCUGAAACUGGUGGUCUUGAGUGGAUGAGAAGUACGCGGAAUGCGUGGUGUAGCGGUGAAAUGCAUAGAUAUCACGCAGAACUCCGAUUGCGAAGGCAGCGUACCGGCAUCCAACUGACGCUGAGGCACGAAAGCGUGGGGAUCAAACAGG
rnacentral:rRNA from 1 species